CUCCUUCCGUGUGCCUGGAGAAAGGCCAUUCUGUCCCCGCUGGCCAUCCUUGAAGACCUGCCACCUUUCCGCGGACACGAGCAGCCAAGCGGAGCCCUGGCCACGGAAACUUCAACCACAGACACCCGGGCGCAGGCUUUGCCAUCGAACAACUUGAGCACCAACGAUCGGGUAGGUGGCUGCCAGCCUCUCCUAUCAUCAGGGACUGAAACGGGGUUUGGCCUCCCGACACCGAUGCCAGCAGCCCACGGUGACAGCCGGGUGCCUCCCUGGCUCUCUGCCCCUUCGCUUUCAGCGACAGCACCCGGCCUCCCAACCUGCAUCUAUCACACGGACACAUUGAUUUCCUCUCCAGAGAAACAGAUAUUUCCUCCCUCCUGCCGAGAAGAUAAGUCUGACGGGUUUUAAUCAAAUGUGGAUGUUCACAAAAAUGCCCCCCGUAAUGCAGGAGUUGUUUCGGGGGGCCCUAGUUCAUCGGGAGGAAACACUUGCCUUAAAACACACACAUGAUCACAGACACACACACACACACGCACACACACGCACACACAGCCGUGAAGCCUGGGAGCUGGUUAAUAUUUGUCAAGCCACAGAGUGUGAUUGGUAGUGACACCAGUGAUUAUCGGUCCCCAUUAAAAUUUCCGCUGAAACGAUUCUGCCCAGCUUCUCUGUUUUCACCCCGAGAAGCUGCAUUGUUGGGACUCUGCCUUUAAAAUGAUGUUUUUCCUGAGAUGAAAGUUGGCUCUCAGGGGAAACAGCACUUGAGAGGUGAUCCCACCAAUCAGGCUCCUGCGACUGUGUUUUUGCUCAGCGCGUGGCUGUGUGCGGUGCAUUUAUAUUAUUUUAUAAACUCAUAUACUGAGUGGCAUUUAUAUUAUUUUAUACAUUUCUAUGCUGAGUAGCUGCUAUUUUUUUCAGUGUGUCUAUGGAGAGCCACAUUGUGCGUAAUUUUUUUUCUUAAUUUAGAUAGACAUUUAAACAGAUUUUUCUUAAUUUUUUUUUAUAUCAAAAAAGGCUUUGGAGGAGAGACUUAAUCGCCUUCAGGUUUCUCAUCCUAGGCCGAGCUCAUUGUUAAUGGUACUUUUCUAAAUAUUUCAGUUUGGAGCAAGGUUGUGUAUUUUUGUUUCUCACUAUAGGUAGGACUGAUGGCAUUUUCAUGACAGUGAAGAGCUUGGAUGUCUCUUGUUCAUGCCUGGUGGCAAUUUCCUGCCCAGGCAUUUUGGCAAAAUAUAGUUUAUUUCAGCUAAUUUUCAGAGGUGUGAAAAAAACCCCAAAACGAACCCAGGUCCCUGGAGGACGGGAGUGUGGAGACAGUUCUCACCGACCGUCAGUCCAAUCCCGCCUUGAAAGGCCCAUCUUUUCAACCAAGACCUUUUCAUUCUCUCCUUAUAACUUUGAAUAUUAUAUUAAGAUGUAUACGAUUCAAGAAGAACUGUAUCUGGAAAGAAAAGCCUUGAAAGGAAGUUAUUUUAAUAAUCCUACAUACAUCGCGUAUCCACAUAUAGGAGUCCCUUGCACGUCAAUGGGCAAAAAUAGAGAAUUAAUUCCCUUUUAAACCGUGAGCUUCAAAUAUUUCCCUUGCGGGAGCUUCCGCUGACAUUUUCAAGUUUGUAAAAACUAGAAAACUUUAUUAUUUAUAUGCUAAUGCGCCCUGCAGCGCGUUAUUGGGGUGAUUUUGACAACCGCUUGGUCUAAGGACGCUCUGACGACGCUGAUAUUUGUCCUUGAUGUGCCAUUAAGCUCGGAUUUUAUUUUUUUUCCUUCUGAAAAGCAGAGGGCAUGGCAAAGGGAGGAGAUAAAGAGAGAAGAAAUCAGAAUUUCCGCGCGAGAGCCCUGUUAGGAAAUGCCGGCGUUUCAAUGGAAACGGAUAGUGGGGAAAAGGGCAGCAUCUUUAUCUGGCUCGCGGUGGAGCCCAAAGACGUGGCCUCCGACGGUGCGUUCGCAUCUGUAGCUUUUAUAUCCACGUGGAGCAUUUAAGGCACAGUGGUUUGUUUUUUUUUUCAUAUUUUCUGGCUACCCGAAAGCAACCAGCUCCCGCACGAAGUAAAAUAACAGCAGGCAACGCAAAGGGGACCUUGAAGAAGUUGGAAAGGAAGCCAAGCGCUUACUAAAGGAGAUUAAGACGCCAAGUGGACACACCGGCCAACGCGACAGUCACCACAGCGGCCCUGGCCGGGAGCUCGGUCCGUUAGAGGGUCGUCUCUAGAC